rnacentral:rRNA from 1 species
UACGGAGGGUGCAAGCGUUAAUCGGAAUUACUGGGCGUAAAGCGCACGCAGGCGGUUUGUUAAGUUAGAUGUGAAAUCCCCGGGCUCAACCUGGGAACUGCAUUUGAAACUGGCAAGCUAGAGUCUCGCAGAGGGGGGUAGAAUUCCAGGUGUAGCGGUGAAAUGCGUAGAGAUCUGGAGGAAUACCGGUGGCGAAGGCGGCUCCCUGGACAAAGACUGACGCUCAUGUGCGAAAGCGUGGGGAGCAAACAGG